rnacentral:rRNA from 1 species
UACAGAGGUCCCAAGCGUUGUUCGGAUUUACUGGGCGUAAAGCGCACGUAGGCGGAUUGUUAAGUCAGGGGUGAAAUCCUGGAGCUCAACUCCAGAACUGCCUUUGAUACUGGCAAUCUAGAGUCCGGAAGAGGUGAGUGGAACUCCUAGUGUAGAGGUGGAAUUCGUAGAUAUUAGGAAGAACACCAGUGGCGAAGGCGGCUCACUGGUCCGGUACUGACGCUGAGACGCGAAAGCGUGGGGAGCGAACAGG